CCCCCAGUGAGAAUGCCCUUAAUGUCCCUUCUCGGAAUUAAGGAGCAGGCAUCAGGCACAUCUCCUAGCCCACUACGCCUUGCUUAGCCACACCCCCAAGGGUAUUCAGCAGUGAUAAAAUUUAAGCCAUAAGUGAAAACUUGACUUAGUUAAGGCCAAGAGGGCCGGUAAAACUCGUGCCAGCCACCGCGGUUAUACGAGAGACCCAAAUUGAUGAAGAUCGGCGUAAAGCGUGGUUAAGAAAAUAAAAAAUGGGGCCGAAUGGUUCCAAAACAGUUAUAAGUACUCGGUACCUUGAAGUUCAAAAACGAAAGUAGCCCUAUCAAACUCUGACCCCACGAAAGCUACAGAACAAACUGGGAUUAGAUACCCCAUUAUGUGUAGCCAUUAACACUGAUAGUUUGUUACUAAACUAUCCGCCAGGGAACUACGAGCAAUAGCUUAAAACCCAAAGGACUUGGCGGUGCUUUAGACCCCCCUAGAGGAGCCUGUUCUAGAACUGAUAACCCCCGUUUAACCUCACCAUCUCUUGUUUCAUCCGCCUAUAUACCGCCGUCGUCAGCUUACCCUAUGAAGGACAAACAGUAAGCAAAGUAGGUUUAACCAAAAACGUCAGGUCGAGGUGUAGUGAAUGAGAUGGGAAGUAAUGGGCUACAUUCUCUAGUUAAGAGAAUACGGAAGAUAAAUUGAAAAAUUUGCCUGAAGGAGGAUUUAGUAGUAAGUAAGGAAUAGAGAGCCCUGCUGAAAAUGGCCCUAAAGCGCGCACACACCGCCCGUCACUCUCUCCAAAGUAAGCCUAAAAUUACCUAAAAUAUUUUUUUCAUUAAAGGAGAGGCAAGUCGUAACAUGGUAAGCGUACCGGA
rnacentral:ncRNA from 1 species